GCGCACGUGGCGGAAUUGGUAGACGCGCUAGAUUCAGGUUCUAGUGAGUGAAUAACUCGUGGAGGUUCGAGUCCUCUCGUGCGCACCA
rnacentral:tRNA from 5 species